rfam:Aptenodytes forsteri contig10764, whole genome shotgun sequence.
CCAAAGGCUCUUCUAAGAGCCACCCGCUUCCUCCGAAGAAGAGCUGU